UACGGAAGGCAGCAGGGGGAAUAUUGGACAAUGGGCGGGAAGCCUGAUCCAGCCAUGCCGCGUGUGUGAAGAAGGCCUUUUGGUUGUAAAGCACUUUAAGCGAGGAGGAGGCUACUAGUAUUAAUACUACUGGAUAGUGGACGUUACUCGCAGAAUAAGCACCGGCUAACUCUGUGCCAGCAGCCGCGGUAAUACAGAGGGUGCGAGCGUUAAUCGGAUUUACUGGGCGUAAAGCGUGCGUAGGCGGCUUUUUUAAGUCGGAUGUGAAAUCCCCGAGCUUAACUUGGGAAUUGCAUUCGAUACUGGGAAGCUAGAGUAUGGGAGAGGAUGGUAGAAUUCCAGGUGUAGCGGUGAAAUGCGUAGAGAUCUGGAGGAAUACCGAUGGCGAAAGGCAGCCAUCUGGGCCUAAUCUGACGCUGAGGUACGAAAGCAUGGGGA
rnacentral:rRNA from 1 species